rnacentral:rRNA from 14 species
GUGACAGGUGCUGCAUGGCUGUCGUCAGCUCGUGUCGUGAGAUGUUGGGUUAAGUCCCGUAACGAGCGCAACCCUUGUCCUUAUUUGCCAGCAUUUAGUUGGGCACUCUAGGGAGACUGCCGGUGACAAACCGGAGGAAGGUGGGGAUGACGUCAAGUCCUCAUGGCCCUUAUGGGUAGGGCUUCACACGUCAUACAAUGGUCGGUACAGAGGGUUGCCAAGCCGCGAGGUGGAGCUAAUCCCAGAAAACC